UACGAAGGGGGCUAGCGUUGUUCGGAAUUACUGGGCGUAAAGCGCGCGCAGGCGGUUCUCCAAGUCAGUGGUGAAAGCCCGGAGCUCAACUCCGGAACUGCCAUUGAAACUGUUGAACUUGAGGACGAGAGAGGUGAGUGGAAUUCCCAGUGUAGAGGUGGAAUUCGUAGAUAUUGGGAAGAACACCAGUGGCGAAGGCGGCUCACUGGCCCGGUACUGACGCUGAGGUGCGAAAGCGUGGGGAGCAAACAGA
rnacentral:rRNA from 1 species